AGUGAACGCUGGCGGUAGGCCUAACACAUGCAGGUCGAACGGCAGCACAGUAAGAGCUUGCUCUUACGGGUGGCGAGUGGCGGACGGGUGAGGAAUACAUCGGAAUCUACUUUUUCGUGGGGGAUAACGUAGGGAAACUUACGCUAAUACCGCAUACGACCUACGGGUGAAAGCAGGGGGUCUUCGGACCUUGCGCGAUUGAAUGAGCCGAUGUCGGAUUAGCUAGUUGGCGGGGUAAAGGCCCACCAAGGCGACGAUCCGUAGCUGGUCUGAGAGGAUGAUCAGCCACACUGGAACUGAGACACGGUCCAGACUCCUACGGGAGGCAGCAGUGGGGAAUAUUGGACAAUGGGCGCAAGCCUGAUCCAGCCAUACCGCGUGGGUGAAGAAGGCCUUCGGGUUGUAAAGCCCUUUUGUUGGGAAAGAAAAGCAGCAGGUUAAUACCCCGCUGUUCUGACGGUACCCAAAGAAUAAGCACCGGCUAACUUCGUG
rnacentral:rRNA from 1 species